GCAACAGUAGCUCAGCACUUAGAGCAUUGGUCUUGUAAGCCAAACGUCGGGGGUUCAACUCCCCCCUGCUGCU
rnacentral:tRNA from 1 species